CUAGAAGAAUGCCUGAAUUGUUUGGAAUUCGCUUCGGUGCUGUUUUCAUUACAGGUGUGAUAUUGGCUACAAUUUUUUUGCAUCUGGACAACUCUCCAAGAGGUGCCCAAGAAAGAUUGGGCUUUUUCGCUUUUGCCAUGUCCACAACUUACUAUACAUGUGCGGAAUCCAUCCCUGCCUUUCUCCAGGAACGUUACAUUUUCAUGAGAGAAACUGCCUACAAUGCUUAUCGCCGUUCUUCCUACGUUCUUGCUCACUCCCUAAUUUCCAUUCCUUCUCUAAUUAUACUCUCUAUUGCCUUCGCAGCUACGACCUACUGGACAGUAGGGCUUGCGGGUGGAGCUUCUGGGUUCUUUUUCUUCUUCUUCACAAUCUUAUCUGCAUUCUGGGCAGGAAGUUCAUUCGUUACAUUCCUCUCCAGGCAUCGUCUCUCACGUAAUGCUAGGUUUCACAAUUGUUGUUGCCAUUUUGGCUUACUUCCUUCUCUUCAGUGGAUUCUUCAUUUCUCGGGAUCGAAUUCCUCCCUACUGGAUAUGGUUUCACUAUCUCUCUCUGGUGAAAUAUCCAUAUGAAGGAGCUCUACAAAAUGAGUUCCAGGAUCCCACAAAAUGCUUUGUAAGGGGCGUGCAAAUGUUUGAUAACACACCGCUGAGCGCUGUGCCUGUGGCGCUGAAACUCAAAUUGUUGCAGAGCCUGAGCAACACCUUGGGCAGGAACGUAACAGGCAGCACUUGUAUAGUCACUGGACCAGAUAUACUAAGGGGACAAGGUAUUACAGAUAUAAGCAAAUGGAGUUGUUUAUGGAUCACCAUUGCUUGGGGAUUUUUCUUUAGGGUCUUGUUUUACUUUACUUUGUUGUUGGGAAGCAAGAACAAGAGGAGGUGA
rnacentral:misc_RNA from 1 species